rnacentral:lncRNA from 1 species
ACAACCACUGAAUUACAGGUUCCUGACUUGGGACAGGCACAUACAUAAAUAAUGUGGCGGGGUUAAACAUGUUAGCGGGAUCCCAACCCUCCCCCUAACCUGGGACAGUGGUAUAACCGUACAACAUAAGAACGAACUAUAAAAAUCAGUUGAAAAAGGCUCAACUCAUCUGAUGGACAAAAAUACAAGUGGACGUGGCCCGGUACUUACACAUCCCGAC